rnacentral:lncRNA from 1 species
UCGUGCAGUGCAUAUGCACGCUAGGAUCGGGCGGUGUCAGGAGUUUCGGGCUCGGUCGAAGAACAGGCCACUGCGCUGGCCGUCAAGGACGAAGCGUGCGCGCACGCCUUCUCGGCACUCCUGCGGCUUCGCAAGCGACCGUGCAGACAUGGAGUGGAAUUGGACCCGUUCCCGUGCCCACAGCUGAAGCAGACCUCUUUCCUCGUGGAACAGUGGAGACUCGGGCGUUGCGUGCAGGGGAAAAAAUUUGGGUGGGUACCGGGGUCAUUCGCGGCUCCG